rnacentral:rRNA from 1 species
AUUGAACGCUGGCGGCAUGCCUUACACAUGCAAGUCGAACGGUAACAGGUCUUCGGAUGCUGACGAGUGGUGAACGGGUGAGUAAUACAUCGGAACGUGCCCGAUCGUGGGGGAUAACGAAGCGAAAGCUUUGCUAAUACCGCAUACGAUCUACGGAUGAAAGCAGGGGACCGCAAGGCCUUGCGCGAACGGAGCGGCCGCUGGCAGAUUAGGUAGUUGGUGGGAUAAAAGCUUACCAAGCCGACGAUCUGUAGCUGGUCUGAGAGGACGACCAGCCACACUGGAACUGAGACACGGCCCAGACUCCUACGGGAGGCAGCAGUGGGGAAUUUUGGACAAUGGGCGAAAGCCUGAUCCAGCCAUGCCGCGUGCAGGAUGAAGGCCUUCGGGUUGUAAACUGCUUUUGUACGGAACGAAAAGACUCUGGUUAAUACCUGGGGUCCAUGACGGUACCGUAAGAAUAAGCACCGGCUAACUACGUG